rnacentral:lncRNA from 1 species
UGAGUCAACUCAAACUAAAAUCUAUUCCGAGCAAAGAUAGACUCAUCCCUCAAUCACUCACGAAGUACAAGCCGGCUUUCAACACUUGUGAAACCAAGUGUGAGGUAAAAAUCGAGAGUGAGAGUGUGGUGAGACAUUUUUUAGCUAACAAGUUUGUUUGUUUUGUUGUUCAUUGUUGUCUUUUCUUUAGGUACCAUGGCUGCCACCAAUCCCGAUGCCACAUUUGACCGCAUCACCGACUAUAUUGAAGAAAUGAAAUGGUACGUGGAAAGGCUAUGCCAAU